GUGGGGAAUAUUGGACAAUGGGCGCAAGCCUGAUCCAGCCAUGCCGCGUGAGUGAUGAAGGCCUUAGGGUUGUAAAGCUCUUUCAGUGGGGACGAUAAUGACGGUACCCACAGAAGAAGCCCCGGCUAACUUCGUGCCAGCAGUCGCGGUAAUACGAAGGGGGCUAGCGUUGUUCGGAUUUACUGGGCGUAAAGCGCACGUAGGCGGAUCGUUAAGUCGGGGGUGAAAUCCUGGAGCUCAACUCCAGAACUGCCUUCGAUACUGGCGAUCUUGAGUGCGGAAGAGGUGAGUGGAACUCCGAGUGUAGAGGUGAAAUUCGUAGAUAGUCGGAGGAACACCAGUGGCGAAGGCGGCUCACUGGCUCGAUACUGACGCUGAGGUGCGAAAGCGUGGGGAGCAAACAGGAUUAGAAACCCUUGUAGC
rnacentral:rRNA from 1 species